rnacentral:rRNA from 1 species
CGGGGGGGGCAAGCGUUGUUCGGAAUUACUGGGCGUAAAGGGCGCGUAGGCGGCUCGCUAAGUCGGGUGUGAAAACUCUGGGCUCAACCCAGAGCCUGCAUUCGAAACUGACGGGCUAGAGUUCUGGAGGGGAAAGCGGAAUUCCUGGUGUAGCAGUGAAAUGCGUAGAUAUCAGGAGGAACACCGGUGGCGAAGGCGGCUUUCUGGACAGAAACUGACGCUGAUGCGCGAAAGCUAGGGGAGCAAACAGGAUUAGAUACCCUGGUAGUCCUAGCCCUAAACGAUGGAUACUUGCUGUGAGGGGGAUUGAAUCCCUUCGUGGCGAAGCUAACGCAUUAAGUAUCCCGCCUGGGGAGUACGGUCGCAAGGCUG